AACGAACGUUGGCGGCGUGGAUGAGGCAUGCAAGUCGAACGCGAAAGCCGCAAGGCGAGUAAAGUGGCGGACGGGCGAGUAACACGUAAUCAAGCUGCCUGCGAGACGGGGAUAACUUCGGGAAACCGAAGCUAAGACCCGAUGGUCUUGGGAGAUCGCAUGUUUUCCCAAGUAAAUGGGCGGGACCCUCCGGGGUCGCCUGCUCGCAGAGGUGAUUGCGGCCCAUCAGCUAGUUGGUAGGGUAAUGGCCUACCAAGGCAACGACGGGUAGCCGGCCUUAGAGGGUGGUCGGCCGCACUGGGACUGAGACACUGCCCAGACUCCUACGGGAGGCUGCAGUCGAGAAUCUUCCGCAAUGGGCGAAAGCCUGACGACGCAACGCCGCGUGGAGGAUGAAGAUCUUCGGGUUGUAAACCGCUUUUGUCAGGGAAGAAAUCUUCUGGGUUAAUACCUCGGGGGGAUGACGGUACCUGAAGAAUAAGCACCGGCUAACUACGUGCCAGCAGCCGCGGUAAAGUACAGUG
rnacentral:rRNA from 1 species